UGAAUGAAACUGCUGCUGGUUAGCUUUGACUGCAUUCCAACAUUUUACAAAUCCCUACAGCUAAAUCUUUUUACUAAGGUAAGUUGGUGGCACCUGCAAGGCUUUUCUUGCUCUUUCUAGUAUUGAAAAGUCUCCUUCUCAGGUAAAGGAACCUCAAGUGUAGGAAAACCUCAGUACUUCUUUCUUCUGAGGCAUGGACAAAUGGAUUUCGCACUGAGAGGUGGAUGAGCAUUUAUUGUAAACAGCAGUCAGAUCCUAUAGAUGUGUAGACCAUAUUGUUUGAAUGUAAGUUUGAAGAGUUGAAUUGAACAUGUCAGAUGUCUAUAUAUAUAUGUAUGUAUGUGUACAUAUAUAUACAUUUUUUUUUUUCCUCAGGUGUUAUUCCAUUAUAGGAUUGAUUCACACAGUCGUGACAGCUUCUACUAAGAGUUUUUCAUGGGAUCUGGCUUGCCCAUUUUGGAGUUGUCACGUCUGUCCUGAUCGGUGCAGUAUGCUGUUCUAUCCACCAGGCAAGCUGUUUGGCUGUCCAAAAAUAUAAAUGAAUUAGAAGAAAAUGAUCACAGGGGAGACAUCUAUGUUACAGUGAAACGUAUCAUGUUCCAAAUCAAACACUUGGAAACUUGCCAGUGGUAUUACGACCCUGCCUAAAAUAUGCUGGGAAAAGGAGAAGAAAACUGUUUUAUGUAAAAAGUUCUGGUAAGAGUUUUUUUCCAGCAUAGAGAAUGUGUAUGACACAAUUUAUGACAACUCUAAACUAUUGAGAAAAAUGCUUGAAAGGUUAAUUUCCUUUGUGCAGCACAGGUUCACGAGUUGCAGAGAAUCGAGGAAGACAGUUCACUAAUUCAGCUACUCAUUAUAGAUAAACACGUCAAUUAAUUUCUUCAGACUGCAGUGCUAAUAUAUACUUGAAUUCUUUGACCUGAUGAAGGUGUGAUUUAUGUGUAUGGCACUGAUUAUUCAUUCCAUUUGGAGCAUUAUUUGUCAGCACAGCCCUCAUGCAAAGGCAGUGAGGUUCAGCUGAAAUUUUGGUCCUACAGCCUGUGCUCCUCCAGCUCUUUGUAUCAAUUAUUUGAACAAGAGUUGAAGCAAAAAAACCUAAUAGCCAUUUCUUUGUGAAAGAGGUACUGUCUGGAUUAAAAAAUAAAAAUAAAACUCAUUCGCA
rnacentral:lncRNA from 1 species